rnacentral:rRNA from 1 species
AGUGAACGCUGGCGGUAGGCCCAACACAUGCAAGUCGAACGGCAGCACAGUAAGAGCUUGCUCUUACGGGUGGCGAGUGGCGGACGGGUGAGGAAUACAUCGGAAUCUACUUUUUCGUGGGGGAUAACGUAGGGAAACUUACGCUAAUACCGCAUACGACCUACGGGUGAAAGCAGGGGAUCUUCGGACCUUGCGCGAUUGAAUGAGCCGAUGUCGGAUUAGCUAGUUGGCGGGGUAAAGGCCCACCAAGGCGACGAUCCGUAGCUGGUCUGAGAGGAUGAGCAGCCACACUGGAAGUGAGACACGGUCCAGACUCCUACGGGAGGCAGCAGUGGGGAAUAUUGGACAAUGGGCGCAAGCCUGAUCCAGCUAUACCGCGUGGGUGAAGAAGGCCUUCGGGUUGUAAAGCCCUUUUGUUGGGAAAGAAAAGCAGCAGGUUAAUACCCCGCUGUUCUGACGGUACCCAAAGAAUAAGCACCGGCUAACUUCGU